AGAGUUUGAUCCUGGCUCAGAACGAACGCUGGCGGCAGGCUUAACACAUGCAAGUUGAACGGGAUUGUUAAGUAGCUUGCUAUUUAACAAGAGAGUAGCGCACUGGUGAGUAACACGUGGGAACGUACCUUUUGGUGGGGGACAACAUCUGGAAACGGAUGCUAAUACCGCAUAAGACCUGAGGGUGAAAGAUUUAUCGCCGAAAGAACGGCCCGCGGAAGAUUAGGCAGUUGGUGGGGUAAAGGCCUACCAAACCUACGAUCUAUAGCUGGUCUGAGAGGACGAUCAGCCACACUGGAACUGAGACACGGUCCAGACUCCUACGGGAGGCAGCAGUGAGGAAUAUUGGGCAAUGGAGGCAACUCUGACCCAGCCAUGCCGCGUGAGUGAAGAAGGUUUUCGGAUUGUAAAGCUCUUUCGGAUGUGACGAUGAUGACGGUAGCAUCUAAAGAAGCCCCGGCUAACUUCGUGCCAGCAGCCGCGGUAAUACGAAGGGGGCGAGCGUUGUUCGGAAUUACUGGGCGUAAAGGGUGUGUAGGCGGUUAUGUAAGAUAGCGGUGAAAUCCCGGGGCUUAACCUCGGAAUAGCCGUUAUAACUAUGUAGCUAGAGUUAUGGAGAGGAUAGCGGAAUACCCAGUGUAGAGGUGAAAUUCGUAGAUAUUGGGUAGAACACCGGUGGCGAAGGCGGCUAUCUGGCCAUAUACUGACGCUGAGGCACGAAAGCAUGGGGAUCAAACAGGAUUAGAUACCCUGGUAGUCCAUGCUGUAAACGAUGAAUGCUGGUUGUCGGCUUUAGGGUCGGUGACGAAGUUAACGCGAUAAGCAUUCCGCCUGGGGAGUACGGUCGCAAGAUUAAAACUCAAAGGAAUUGACGGGGACCCGCACAAGCGGUGGAGCAUGUGGUUUAAUUCGAAGCAACGCGAAGAACCUUACCUGGUCUUGACAUCCCUAUGAAUAACGGGCAAUGCCGUUAGUACUUCGGUACAUAGGAGACAGGUGGUGCAUGGUUGUCGUCAGCUCGUGUCGUGAGAUGUUGGGUUAAGUCCCGCAACGAGCGCAACCCCUGCUAUCAGUUGCCAGCGAGUAAAGUUGGGCACUCUGAUAGGACUGCCGGUGACAAGCCGGAGGAAGGUGGGGAUGACGUCAAGUCAUCAUGGCUCUUACGAGUUGGGCUACACACGUGCUACAAUGGUAACUACAGAGGGGAGCGAGACCGCGAGGUUGAGCCAAUCUUAAAAAGUUAUCUCAGUUCGGAUUGUUCUCUGCAACUCGAGAACAUGAAGUUGGAAUCGCUAGUAAUCGCGGAUCAGCAUGCCGCGGUGAAUACGUUCCCGGGUCUUGUACACACCGCCCGUCACGCCAUGGGAGUUGGUUCUGCCUGACGGCGUUGAGGUAACCCGCAAGGGAGCCUGGCGACCACGGUAGGGUCAGCGACUGGGGCGAAGUCGUAACAAGGUAGCCGUAGGGGAACCUGCGGCUG
rnacentral:rRNA from 1 species